GCUUCCCAAUCUACCUCAUGGAAUUACGUUUCUCUCUCAUUUUUUCUCUUUCACGUUUCUCUUUCUCUCUCACUUUUUCUCUUUUUCUCUUUUUCUCUCUUUUUCUCUUUCUCUCUACCGAAGGCGGGGUUGUUCUUCCUCUUCCUCAAUCUUCUCCAUAAAACUUCUUCCUCUUUCUAUCUCUCUUCCCUCUAUUUGUUAUUCUCUUUCUCUAUCGUUGAGAUGAAACUCUGAUAUCUGAUUAUGUAACGAUGCACAAAAUUAGGGUUUCAAAAAUCUUAUUUAGCCUAAAAGAAGAAAUACGAAAUCAGGACUUUGGAGAAAGCACCGGUAUCCUUUUUGUAUUCUACGUACCAUGAUGUGAGAGUGAUGGAGUUUGCAUAUGGUGAACAAUAUCCGUUUUUUGAGAACUGUGUCUUGAAUGCUUAUAUAUGCAGAAAAAUUAGGGUUUAAUAUUUGUUAACAGGCCUUUCUGCAAUCAUCCUCUCUCUCUCUCUAUUCUUAAAACACGUGCUCAUUUUAUGUUGUUUUCUCGAGUAUUUUCUUUGACUCAUUUCGGUUUUUUGAACUGAUACGGAUUCUAUUUUUUUACUGGUGCAGGUCCGGUUUGAAUGUGUAUUUGGACUCAUAAGCUCGGUUUGGACUAUCUACGUUUUUUCGGUGUAGAUUCAUACUUAUUCUGUUUUAUUGAAAAACCUUUUAUCAUCUAGAAAUUGGAGGAAGUAUUUAGAGAGCGCUUCAAAGGAUAGUGCAGGCAGAGAGUUUUUAGGGAGUGGAGUUUGACUGAGAUAUCUGUGGAGUGAGAGAGGACUAAGGUUCGAGAGAAAUCAGGGAUUGGAGGUGGACUUAGAAGUUGAGGGAAUCGUGGGAUUGAGGUGGCUCAAAGUCCCUAUUUUCCAGGCUUUUCAAAUAUGAAUCAUGAGGCUGUGAUUCAAAUCUUACUAAUGAUAACAUAUUGUGUAAAAAAAUGAGGAAGAUGAUGAUGAAAUAGGGUUUCAUGAAUGUUAGUGUUGUAUCAGGUUUACUCAGUUGCUAUGAUUCCAAGAGUACAUUUGAGGAAAGAGAGGAGAUAGGGCAGCAUCGAAGGUAAUCGUUUCCCCUUCUAUCAAUCUAAAUGAUCGUCGAUUAGUUGUAUAACUUAAUCUGAAUUUUUAGGGCGAAAUAUGUUGAAUGGGAGGAAGAAUGUCGCCAAUUAUUUCCGCUUGUGGGAAGUGGUAGAUUUAUCACACCACCUGUAGUUACUAACGAUGGUCAACCGAUUGAAUAUCCAAUUGUUCUGUUAGAAAAUAAUCCAUAAAAUGGAGUAAUUAUAUGGUUUAGUUUAUGCCUUUUGAUGUUUAGGGUUCAGUUUAUUCUUUUUAAUUAUAUAGGUUUGGAUGAAGAAUAGUUGAAGGUGUUAACUUUCCAUAGGAUGGGUGCGCGUAUCAACCGAUGGUUUGGUGAUAUUUACUGGGGAUUGUGGCAGCAUGUCUUACGCAAUACAGAGCUUACUCCGCCGAUGAAGUGAUGGCAUUGCUUCAGCAGGGAAAUCGUAAUAGAACUACGGAACCAACUCGUGCAAAUGAAACAACUUCACGUUCUCAUGUUGUUUUGCAGGUACACUUUUGAAGGUUGUUUAUGGAAAAAAUGCAAAAACCCUUCUAUGUUGUGAUUGUAACGUAUGCUUAAUUAGAGGUUAAAAAUCAUAAACAAAUGGAGGAUAGCAGCAAACCCAAUUCCCGUCGGAAGGGUCUCCGACCAAAAUCAUCGAAGGGUCUUUGAACCGGCUGAAGUUAGUCUGUUUGUAAUUAUAUAAAACAAAUACUGAGGCUGAACUUAGGUUACUGAGCUCUAUCAAAUGUAUAACCACUAAAUCAUGUUAUAUUAUGUUAUUUAGGUUAUUAGGUCUUAUCACGGCCAUCUUAGUGGUGUUUAUUGCUUGGCUAUUUAUCCCACAAUUGACAUUUUGCUGACUGGGGGACGUGAUUCUGUCUGCCGGGUCUGGGACAUAUGUAAUAAAAUGUAGAUUCACGCUCUUUCAGGUCAUGAGAACACCGUCUGCUAUGUGUUCAUGCGGCCAAUGGUAUGUAGAUUCUUCUGUUGUCUAUAUUUUUUAUUUUGACAAUCAUAAUGUUGUACGGUCAGUAGUCUACAUGUCCCCAGUUCUGUCCUCUGACAUGCCGAUAUCAGUAACACUGGCAUGUAGGUUAUCUUCUGACUGGCUUAGUUCCACUACAAGCUCUUUGAUAUGAUAGAUGUGUGCACAUACUUUAGCAUUCAAGUUCAGCUUUGAGAUAUGUCCUAAUAUAGUUUUAUACUUUUAAACCUUCAUUUUUCCCUACUCUGGCUUGGGUUUAUUUGCAAAAAGGCGACUAAAAAACAGCGGACGAACAUUAUAGCUCUCAGAAGUAUUAAGCAUGCAUUCAAUCCUGAUCAUCAUCGUGAAGGUAGUGUGUAUGUUUUUUUAAUUUUAUGCUACUAAUGGAUGAAAUUGUAUGUGAACUUUCGUGUUUCAGUUUACCGAUUUAAGGCAUGUCUGAGCUUGCCCUCCACGUGUUUGAUGAAAAGCAAGAAUGACGCAGUGGUUUUCGUUGCUGCGUUUCAUGGUCUGAGGAUUGAAAGGCCCGGUCAGGAUCUCUAAAAUUUAUGUGAAGCUUGAGAGAAGCAGAGCACAGGCUGAUCCCGGUAUUCAAAUUGUGAGAAGUCAGGAAAUAGAUGAAAAUUAGAGGUUGAAUUAAAAUUAGAUUCCAAACAUUUAAAGAAUGCGACACGUCGGUUGAAUUAAAACAUGCUGCAGAGAGAGAAUGAUCAUUCAAACUGGAAGAAGACACGAGUCACAAUACCAUCGGCGACAAGGAAAGCGAAGAAAUUUUCUAUUGGCUUCUUAAAGCCUACUACUUACUAUUUUUUAGAGCUGAAAAAUGGAAUAGGAUCCACCAUAUCUUUACACGAUGAUGAUGGAGUUGUAACUUGCAAAAUGAAGGGAAAAGGAUCACUAUUACGUUGAAUUUGUAGUGUAAAGAAUUAUUAGAAAGGGGAAAGAAUGAUGUAUGGUCGUGUACGUGAGAGUGAGUACAAUGAUCGUACAUGAGAGUGCGUCUAUAGCACAGGUUUGGAAGUUUGCUCACAUGUGAAUCUUUUCAUGCAAAUGUACAUGCUGGAAAUCCGUGGCUUCUAUGUGAUGGCCGUAUUGAAUUUCUUGACUUUGGUAUGCUUUUUCUGUGAGAAUCAAUGAAAUUAGAAAUAUCUAAAUAUGUCUUAAGGGAUAGUUGUUCAUGACAUACAUAACAUUUUGAUGAAUUGAUGUUUAUAGGAUUAACUGUUAGCCUAUAAGUUAUUUUGUAUAAUAUUUUACUAAGGUAUUCUUACUGAUCCUACGCGUUAUAUUUUAAUGGUCCAUUAAUAGUUAGUUUUCUAAUUAGCAUUUUAUUAGGGAUUCAGUUACUACUGUAACCAUUAUAUAAUGAUAUGAUUCAUUUCAUUCUAUAAUUUUGUUUUUCAUAUUUAUAUUUUUACUACAAUUUUGUUUUUCUUAACUUAUAUAUUUAUCUUUAACUACUUUUCAUAUUUUUCAUUUCUUACAAUUUAAUUUAAAUGUUUUCUAUUUUAAGUAUCUCAAUAUGAGAAAAUAUAUAUGUCUCUUAUAAAUUAAUUUAGGUGGACAAUUAUAUUCAGACAGAGGGAAUAUAAUAUUAAUUGGAAAGAGUUAUUUUUAAAUUAAUAAAUAUAUUUUAAUAUAUUUUUUAAUAAAUGGGAACAAUUUUUUUAAAUCCAAAUAUAAAUUAAAAUAUGUUUUUUAAUAAACUCUUUCGGUUAAAUAAUUUAAUAUUUCUUUUUUACAUUCUUAUUAUAUUGAUUAUUAACGGGACAUGAAGUUAUUGAUCAAAAUAUUGAUUAUUAACGGGAUAUGAAGUUACUAAUCAAAAUAUUUUUUAUUAAUUCUAUCUUGAAUUAUUAUUUUUUCAUGGAUAACCAGACAUUCUUUAUUAAAAAAUAUAUAUCUGAAACAAAUGCGUGUCACGUAUCAGAACCCGUGCGAACGCACGGGUUUGUUACUAGUUAUUGAGAGUUAUUAGUCGAUCUCUCACAUGACUUUCAAGUUAAAAAUCAAUUUGGCACAUUUAAUGAGACGUUACAAUCAAAACUGCUAAAAAGUCUAGUUUUCCAAUGUUAUUAGGAAAAAAAUUAUAUGCAAUAUGAAUACACCACUUCACUAACAUCAAAGAGGUCAAACCCACAAAGACCUAAUGAACCUCCACAAGCGUUGGGAAUACCAACAUAUCCUGAUCCUC